CCCUUAGAUGUUCUGGGCCGCACGCGCGCUACACUGAUUCAUGCAACAAGUUUUGUCCUUGGCUGAUAGGCCUGGGUAAUCUUUGAACGUGAAUCGUGAUGGGGAUAGAUGAUUGCAAUUAUUCAUCUUCAACGAGGAAUUCCUAGUAAACGCAAGUCAUCAGCUUGCAUUGAUUACGUCCCUGCCCUUUGUACACACCGCCCGUCGCACCUACCGAUUGAAUGGUCCGGUGAAGCCUCCGGAUUGGCGCGCACCUCGGUGCCGCCGAGAAGUUGGCUAAACCUUACCAUUUAGAGGAAGGUGAAGUCGUAACA
rnacentral:rRNA from 1 species